GAUUAAGUUAUUAAGGGCGCACGGUGGAUGCCUUGGCACUAGAAGCCGAUGAAGGACGUUACUAACGACGAUAUGCUUUGGGGAGCUGUAAGUAAGCUUUGAUCCAGAGAUUUCCGAAUGGGGAAACCCAGCAUGAGUUAUGUCAUGUUAUCGAUAUGUGAAUACAUAGCAUAUCAGAAGGCACACCCGGAGAACUGAAACAUCUUAGUACCCGGAGGAAGAGAAAGAAAAUUCGAUUCCCUUAGUAGCGGCGAGCGAAACGGGAAGAGCCCAAACCAACAAGCUUGCUUGUUGGGGUUGUAGGACACUCUAUACGGAGUUACAAAGGACGACAUUAGACGAAUCAUCUGGAAAGAUGAAUCAAAGAAGGUAAUAAUCCUGUAGUCGAAAAUGUUGUCUCUCUUGAGUGGAUCCUGAGUACGACGGAGCACGUGAAAUUCCGUCGGAAUCUGGGAGGACCAUCUCCUAAGGCUAAAUACUCUCUAGUGACCGAUAGUGAACCAGUACCGUGAGGGAAAGGUGAAAAGUACCCCGGAAGGGGAGUGAAAGAGAACUUGAAACCGUGUGCUUACAAGUAGUCAGAGCCCGUUAAUGGGUGAUGGCGUGCCUUUUGUAGAAUGAACCGGCGAGUUACGAUUGCAUGCGAGGUUAAGCAGUAAAUGUGGAGCCGUAGCGAAAGCGAGUCUGAAUAGGGCGUUUAGUAUUUGGUCGUAGACCCGAAACCAGGUGAUCUACCCUUGGUCAGGUUGAAGUUCAGGUAACACUGAAUGGAGGACCGAACCGACUUACGUUGAAAAGUGAGCGGAUGAACUGAGGGUAGCGGAGAAAUUCCAAUCGAACCUGGAGAUAGCUGGUUCUCUCCGAAAUAGCUUUAGGGCUAGCCUCAAGUGAUGAUUAUUGGAGGUAGAGCACUGUUUGGACGAGGGGCCCCUCUCGGGUUACCGAAUUCAGACAAACUCCGAAUGCCAAUUAAUUUAACUUGGGAGUCAGAACAUGGGUGAUAAGGUCCGUGUUCGAAAGGGAAACAGCCCAGACCACCAGCUAAGGUCCCAAAAUAUAUGUUAAGUGGAAAAGGAUGUGGCGUUGCCCAGACAACUAGGAUGUUGGCUUAGAAGCAGCCAUCAUUUAAAGAGUGCGUAAUAGCUCACUAGUCGAGUGACACUGCGCCGAAAAUGUACCGGGGCUAAACAUAUUACCGAAGCUGUGGAUUGUCCUUUGGACAAUGGUAGGAGAGCGUUCUAAGGGCGUUGAAGCAUGAUCGUAAGGACAUGUGGAGCGCUUAGAAGUGAGAAUGCCGGUGUGAGUAGCGAAAGACGGGUGAGAAUCCCGUCCACCGAUUGACUAAGGUUUCCAGAGGAAGGCUCGUCCGCUCUGGGUUAGUCGGGUCCUAAGCUGAGGCCGACAGGCGUAGGCGAUGGAUAACAGGUUGAUAUUCCUGUACCACCUAGUAUCGUUUUAAUCGAUGGGGGGACGCAGUAGGAUAGGCGAAGCGUGCUGUUGGAGUGCACGUCCAAGCAGUAAGGCUGAGUGUUAGGCAAAUCCGACACUCAUAAGGCUGAGCUGUGAUGGGGAGAGGAAAUUGU
rnacentral:rRNA from 1 species